rnacentral:lncRNA from 1 species
ACUUUAUCAGACUUUCUCCUCUCUUUCUCUCUCUUUCUCUCAGAUCUAGAUCAGAAGCGUUUGAACCACCGGUGGAGGAAACUAGGGUUUCGUUGUCCGUGAUGAAAGAUAUCUGGAGUGCUGAUGGUUUGAGAUGAAAUCAGAUGAUGAACAACCUGAGAUGUAGAACAAACAUCAAUGAAAUUGAAAACACACAGGGUUGAACACCGAUUUGAAGAAACCCUAACUGAAGGUUUCGUCCGGUCAUCUUUGUUGUGGUUUCUUUCGGCUUUCUUCCACAUCAACUAUUAGCAAACACAAAGGGUUUUUUUUGCUGUGACAUAUGAGACGGGUAUUGGGAUCCUCAAUCGAUAAGAUUAACAAUUCGUGCAUUCUUUUUUUGUUGGAGCUCUUGGAGAUCGAUGAAGGGUUUAAUUGUUUCUAAGUGUUUGCUUUCUGUUAAAGUUUUUACAUUGUCCCCUUACAUGGAGACCAAUGAAGGGUUUAUUUGAUUUUUCUAAAGUUGCAGAUCAGUUGGAUCCAAUUACUGCUCUGGUGUUCUCAUGGCAAAAGAUAUAAUUUGAAUUGUGGCCUGCUUUACUUGAUGAAGUUCAAGCACGAUUUGACACUGAUGUUUGCCAGGUACUGAAGAUAUUAAUAGGUGAUGGAGUGAUAUCUUGUGCGGGGAUUCAAUGAGAAUUUGGGGCUGUGAGUAGGCCUGGAUCAAGAUUGGGGAGAGAAAACGAAACCAAAACCCUAAUCCAUUGCUGAUUGUUUCUCCCCAUGGUAACUCUGCGUCGUUGCUGAUGGUUCUUGCUUUUCCGUCUAUGCCACCUCACUACUGCAAACUGAGUCCCAUACCCACCAGCCCUAUGACCAUUGGAGCUCAAGACAGCUUGCAGCAGCUGCGAGCCAAACUUAUUGCAGCAAGGCAUACUAAGAAUCAGAGGACGAGAAAGGAGAAAGAGGCAUAGGCGCAGGAGAGAGUAUACCUUUGGUCUUUGCCUAUUCCGUUGACUAUUGCUUUUGUUAGAACCGAAAUAUACAUUAUGCUCUUCAAGAACACUAAUUAGGGGUCAUGUGUAAUUAUAGGAUCAACCAACAUGACAAGAUUGGGUCGUUUGAAAUCAAUUUGAAACUAAGUUUUUUU